ACCAAAACCACUUCCUCGAGAUUGUGCUUAAAAUAACCCUGGUGCAGAGAAGCAGGGUGCUGACAUGGAGGCAGGUUGAAAAAUUGACAAGAGCCCUUGAGAAUACAGACUGACAGAUAGUGGGCUCCAUUUUAUAUGAACACGAAGACCCUCAUCCAUUUUUACAUUCUAACCUAGGAGGCCAGGAUAGCUACAUUCUUGUGGGCCCCCGGGUCUGCAUCUCAGUAACUGUUAUUAAAUUGCCUUUAACAAACAAACAAAUGCAUCUUCAAGGUAUAUCUGGUCGCAGUCUUUUCACACAGUCUCUAUUGAUUCCUCUAAUAAUAUAUCCAUUUGAACAGCCUUUUUGUGUGCAAUUCUGGGUUGGACAAAGCCAAGUUGGCAUGGCAAUGGGAAUGGAUAUAUUGAGUAAAUUGGAAGCAGAUGUUUUGCUGACUAGGGGUCAAUUAAUUAGUCAGUAUUUACCAAUUCCCAUACCAGUGUUUAAUAAAACUGGAAUUCCUAAAUUAAGCCUGGGAGCUAUCACAGUUAAUGAAGUCACAGGAGUCUACUGAUUCCUCAGUGAUACAAUAUUUCUCUGAGAAAUUUCCAAAUUUGUGGUCAACUUCUAAACUUGAUGUUGGUCUUUGCAGGAUUGAGCCUUUGAAUGUUUCAGGUCCUAUACAUCCUCCAGUGUUUCAGUAUCCUCUUCAGAGAGAAGCAGAGUGAGCUGCACAGGAAAUUGUGAACCAGCUUCAGGAAUCAGGGAUUUUGGUAAGGUGUACUUCCUCAAUGAACUUACCUAUGCAGCUUGUAAAAAAGAAAAGAAGCCAGAUGGUAGCUAUAGGUUAACUAUAGACUACACCGCACUGAAUGCUGUGACUCCUAAAAUAACUCCUAUUAUUGCUAAUCCGUUAACCAUUCUUAAUGACAUUUCUCCAAACCAUCGCUAUUUUAGUGCAGUAGACAUAACCAAUGGUUUUUGGUCUUGUCCUAUCAGAAGAGAAGAUCAAUACAGAUUUGCCUUUCAAUAUUGUGACGACAU
ensembl:lncRNA